AACGCGAAGAACCUUACCAAGGCUUGACAUACGCCGGAAAGCAUCAGAGAUGGUGCCCCCCUUGUGGUCGGUGUACAGGUGGUGCAUGGCUGUCGUCAGCUCGUGUCGUGAGAUGUUGGGUUAAGUCCCGCAACGAGCGCAACCCUUGUUCUGUGUUGCCAGCAUGCCCUUCGGGGUGAUGGGGACUCACAGGAGACCGCCGGGGUCAACUCGGAGGAAGGUGGGGACGACGUCAAGUCAUCAUGCCCCUUAUGUCUUGGGCUGCACACGUGCUACAAUGGCAGGUACAAUGAGCUGCGAUACCGUGAGGUGGAGCGAAUCUCAAAAAGCCUGUCUCAGUUCGGAUUGGGGUCUGCAACUCGACCCCAUGAAGUCGGAGUUGCUAGUAAUCGCAGAUCAGCAUUGCUGCGGUGAAUACGUUCCCGGGCCUUGUACACACCG
rnacentral:rRNA from 1 species